rnacentral:rRNA from 1 species
CGGGUGGUAAUGCCGGAUGCUCCAGUCCAUCGCAUGGUGGUCUGGGAAAGAUUUCAUCGGUAUGGGAUGGGGUCGCGUCCUAUCAGGUAGUCGGCGGGGUAACGGCCCACCGAGCCUACGACGGGUAGCCGGCCUGAGAGGGCGACCGGCCACAUUGGGACUGAGAUACGGCCCAGACUCCUACGGGAGGCAGCAGUGGGGAAUAUUGCACAAUGGGCGCAAGCCUGAUGCAGCGACGCCGCGUGCGGGAUGGAGGCCUUCGGGUUGUAAACCGCUUUUGUCGGGGAGCAAGCCUUCGGGUGAGUGUACCCUUCGAAUAAGCACCGGCUAACUACGUGCCAGCAGCCGCGGUAAUACGUAGGGUGCAAGCGUUAUCCGGAAUUAUUGGGCGUAAAGAGCUCGUAGGCGGUUCGUCGCGUCCGGUGUGAAAGUCCAUCGCUUAACGGUGGAUCUGCGCCGGGUACGGGCGGGCUGGAGUGCGGUAGGGGAGACUGGAAUUCCCGGUGUAACGGUGGAAUGUGUAGAUAUCG